rnacentral:rRNA from 1 species
CCUACGGGUGGCUGCAGUGGGGAAUAUUGGACAAUGGGCGAAAGCCUGAUCCAGCCAUGCCGCGUGUGUGAAGAAGGCCUUCGGGUUGUAAAGCACUUUCAGUGGGGAAGAAAGCCUUGGGGCUAAUACCCUCGAGGAAGGACAUCACCCACAGAAGAAGCACCGGCUAACUCCGUGCCAGCAGCCGCGGUAAUACGGAGGGUGCGAGCGUUAAUCGGAAUUACUGGGCGUAAAGCGCGCGUAGGCGGUCUGAUAAGCCGGUUGUGAAAGCCCCGGGCUCAACCUGGGAACGGCAUCCGGAACUGACAGGCUAGAGUGCAGGAGAGGAAGGUAGAAUUCCCGGUGUGGCGGUGAAAUGCGUAGAGAUCGGGAGGAAUACCAGUGGCGAGGGCGGCCUUCUGGACUGACACUGACGCUGAGGUGCGAAAGCGUGGGUAGCAAACAGGAUUAGAUACCCUGUAGUC